CUCAAGCCUCUGGUCAUGAUACUCCCGGUCCCAUAUCACCGACAGUUUUAUUUAAAAAAAAUUUAUAAUUAGCAUUUUUAUUGUUAUAAGAUGAUAAAACAUGACUUAUGUUUCUAAUUUUUUUAAAAAAAAUUUUAAAUAAGACGAAUGGUCAAAGUUGGACGCUAAAAACCAUGGCUGUACUUAUU
rnacentral:pre_miRNA from 1 species